CUGAGUGUUCUUGCUCUUAAGUGAAACACACCGCAGUUUUAGGGCUGAAAAACCAGACUUCCCAAGUGUCCAGGAAUAACACUCAUCAGCAGUGUGAUGGGGCCAUGCAUAUUUAUACAGAAAGUGAGAAAGGAAAUGAGACAAAACAGAAACAGGUGGUAAAUGAGGUAAAGCGUUAAGGAGCUCGCUGUACUUUCUUUUUCUGUAAGUUCCAGCACACCCCAGAAGGAGCCUGUGCCCACUGGGGCUGUCUGGCCACUAAGAGGAGAGGCUGUGGCCCUGAUCUGCCACACCAUUUGAGGUCCUUUGCAGGAGACAGCCAGCCCUCUGCUGGCGCAGAUCAAGAAGAAGCUGACUUGACCAUACAGGACAUCAGGCUCAGGGAGGGACCAGGGGUGAGACCCUCUGGCCAGCACUCAGUUCCAUGCUGUCUUGCAGAGGCCUCCCUCCCCCAGGCACCCGUCCCCUCCCAAGCAGCACGAUCAGGUUCCCACCUUGACCCAUGAAGACUCAGCACCUUGGGCUCUAAACGUUGCACUUAAUUAAGGACCAGGCUGUGGUUUCGCCUUGACAGGACAGCAUUGACUGAAACAAGCUUCCAAGCACAUGUGAUGGGCUGUGCUCAGUUGGAAACGUUGAUUAAGUGGGAACAGGGCAAGGGGUGUCACAUCAGAAUCUGAGCCUUAUCUGCACCAUCACCUCCUGUGUCUGCAGAAGCUGGGGUGGGGAGGCAUGUGACAGUGGGGUCUGUCCCCUAACCCAUGGAGACAGGACCCCCUCUGACUUCAUGUAUUGCCAUUGUGACCCCUGACCCCUCCCCCACCCAUGGAGCAACACUGACCACUCCCAGCACCUGGUGUUUCCUCUUGCUGCAAGUUGGUCCCUGGCUGCCCGUGAGCAGAGGGUGGCCAGAGGAAGAAGAGCUGGCAAAGGAGGGCCACAGGGAACCCAGAGGGCACAGAGACAAAAGCCAAUGUGUGGGUCUGGAGACAGACCGUUCUGGUGAGCCAGGAGGGAGGAGGGCCCGGGGCCCCAGGGCUGAGGGCAGGGCUCCCAAGGCCUGAUCCAGCACAUCCAUCCUACCUCUGCCCUUGGGGGCAUCGGUUCUGGGGGAUAUGACAUACCAUUGAGCACCCUACAACAGCUACAAGUCCCAGGAGGCCAGCAAACCCUGCCUCCUAGCCAGAGAAGGCCGAGGCGCAGCAGACAGAGCACUUGGGAAGGGUUCUGGGUUCAGCACUUGAACCUUGGAAAAGAGGAGUUUGGCGAAGCAGCGUGUGGGCCUGGACUGAGGGGGUCAAGGACCUAAGGCUGUAACAUGGUGAGACAGACCAGGGUGGUUCUGGGGUGGGUGGCACGAGCAGACCAAGGAUUUAGGGGGAAUAACUUGGUUGUGGCAGCAGCUCCCCCUAUCCCUGGGAGGCAGGGUGAUGCCAGAUGGCUGAAGCCGAGGGGCCAGUUAGAGAGAGAGCGGGCUGUGGGGGGAGAUAGGGGACAAUGAGCCUGGAAGGAGGGCAGGAAGGCAGGGCAGGGAUGGAUAGGGAGAUGCAGAGUGAGGACCCAGCAUGAAGCGACCCCAGCAGCUGGAUUCACCCAAGUCCGUCCUGCUGUGGUUUCUACACACGCUGGCUGCGACCAUAAAUCAAAAAGCCGACUGCAGACUCAAGGGCGCUGUGGCUGAGACAUUCAUUCCUCCAAUCUCCUGCCAGAUGCCAGUCCGCCUAGCAGAUUCCUGUGCCCAUGCACACAGGCCACAGGGCUCCACAGGCAGGUAGCAGAAUGCGGCAAUGUCGAGGAUGUCACUCUGGGAUUAGAUUACAAAAGACUCAGGACUCUCCCUUUUGCUAGCUUUGAUGAAGCAAACUGAUGUGUUGGGGAGGCUCAUGUGCCAAAGAACUGAGGGUGGCCUCAGUCCAACAGUCCACAGGAACUAUGUCCUGCCAUCGACCACGUGAGUGAGCUUGGAAGGGGACCCCACCGGUGGAGCUUUCCAAUGAGACCACAGCCCCAGCCAACACCUUGACUGCAGCUUCACAAGAGACCUCAAGCAGAGGACCUAGCUGAUGCUCGAAUUCCUGACCCACAGAAACUGUGAGACCACAAAUCUGUGCUGUUUUGAGCUGCUAAGUGUGUGAUAAUUUGUUGUGCAGCAGUUGAUAACUAAUGCACCUCCAUAACUUCGUGA